GAUGAACGCUGGCGGCGUGCCUAAUACAUGCAAGUCGAGCGAACAGAUAAGGAGCUUGCUCCUUUGACGUUAGCGGCGGACGGGUGAGUAACACGUGGGUAACCUACCUAUAAGACUGGGAUAACUUCGGGAAACCGGAGCUAAUACCGGAUAAUAUUUCGAACCGCAUGGUUCGAUAGUGAAAGAUGGUUUUGCUAUCACUUAUAGAUGGACCCGCGCCGUAUUAGCUAGUUGGUAAGGUAACGGCUCACCAAGGCGACGAUACGUAGCCGACCUGAGAGGGUGAUCGGCCACACUGGAACUGAGACACGGUCCAGACUCCUACGGGAGGCAGCAGUAGGGAAUCUUCCGCAAUGGGCGAAAGCCUGACGGAGCAACGCCGCGUGAGUGAUGAAGGUCUUCGGAUCGUAAAACUCUGUUAUUAGGGAAGAACAUACGUGUAAGUAACUGUGCACGUCUUGACGGUACCUAAUCAGAAAGCCACGGCUAACUACGUG
rnacentral:rRNA from 1 species